CCAAGAUGUUCCCACAAAACUUUUCUAGAUUUUAUCUCCCGAUGACCAUAAAUAUACGUCAAAAAAAAUAUAUUACUUCCAUGUUCAACAUACAUAUCAGUCUUGUUUAAAGAAGGGGUUCCCGAAAAAUGUAUCUUAACCCCAUCAUUCCACCUCAUAACUAACCCACCACUACUAUCGUUAGCCAUGACAACAAAAGAGUGGUCAUAUCCUUGAUCCUUAAUCACACUAUUUACAUAACUGUCUAUAUUCUUAGUUUCCACCAUAAGCAUGUAUCAGGGUUGUAUAUUCGCCUGAUAUCAUUGAUGUGAGGAACUGUCAGAGUGCUUUCCAAACCCUGAUAUCUCCAGUGUAAAAGUCUCAUGGAACCACCAAACCUUGAUUAUUUCCAAGUUGAGUUUGUUCUAACUCAAUCCUUUUUGCCGAUUGUGAUGGUGUAACAUCUAGGUCAGCUACAGAUCCGGUUUCCAAGUCUGACUCAACUACAUCUCGAUCAUUCCAUUCGGUAAACUCGCUACAGCAGAUCAUGUUACAUUCGCAACUGGUUCAAGCUGUUUGUCGAAUUGUUGCAUUUGCAGUGUCAUGCACGGAUAAACCGUAAUAAAAUCAGUCGCAACAAUAAGGAUAUAACUAAAUAGUUGGUUUAUUUUUACGAAAUUUUCAAAGAAUUGAUAGUAGUAAUUGUUGAAGGUACUUCCAUUCCAUACAUAACUUACAGAAAACACAAACUGUUGGAUUAAGCUUGAAGUAGCUUAAGAAGCAAGCUACCUAAUCCUAAUGAGUUAUGGAAAGAGAUAAGGAUUAGGAAAUAUAGACUUAUGUUAAACCUAAUGAGUUUAGGAAGUUAUGAGAUAUAUAUAAGGAGAUGCUAAUGUGUAGCAUAACU
rnacentral:lncRNA from 1 species